UACGUAGGGGCCUAGCGUUGUCCGGAAUUAUUGGGCGUAAAGAGCUCGUAGGCGGUUCGGCAAGUCGGAUGUGAAAUCUCCACGCUUAACGUGGAGGGGCCAUUCGAAACUGCUGUGACUCGAGUCCGGUAGGGGAGUGUGGAAUUCCCGGUGUAGCGGUGAAAUGCGCAGAUAUCAGGAAGAACACCCGUGGCUAAGGCGGUUCUCUAGUACGGUAUUGAUGCUGAGACGCGAAAGCGUGGGGAGCGAACAGG
rnacentral:rRNA from 1 species